rnacentral:rRNA from 1 species
GAAGAAGAUCAACUGGACCGGCUCAGUAAUUUGCCUGAUCGCGUGUUGCUCGAUAUUGUAGGGCGACUUGACAUCGCAGAUGCUGCCAGAACCAGAAUCCUCGCCAGACGGUGGAAGGGGAUUCCCAUUAUGCUCUCUAAAAUUUUAUUAACAGUUGGUCCCUUUGACGAUGUGCGCAAUAGAGGGUUGACCUCUGAUGAUGUAGCUCGGGCCAAUGCCACCGUGCUUGGAGCGACCAGGAGCAUGCUGGAAAGCAGGACUACAAGUCUAUGCACCAUUAACCUCCUGUGUGUGCGAUUCUUCUUGGGCGAUGGAACUCUCAGUAUUGGCCAGACUGUUGCCAACACCAUGGCGACGGAGAAGGUUGGGUCAGCGGAGCUAACUCUUUUUACAAUGAGAGAAGGCAAACGAUGCACAGAUGAUGAUGUUCUCACUUACGGGAAGCAGUUCAAGUCAUUUCUUGACUCCUGUCCAAACGCAUUCAGUGGUCUUGCACGACUCCAGCUAGAAAAUUUGAGGCUAGUUGAAUCACCGGGCAUCCCUGAAAUUUUCAGCAUAUGCAAGCGACUGGAGUUCCUACGCCUGUUUAACUGCGACAUGGGGUUCCUGUCUUUGCUACAAGUGUCACACCCACUACUCCGUGAACUCGAGAUUGUCAGGUGUAAUUUUGAGAGGGUUGAUCUUAAGUGGCUGCCAAAGCUCACAAUGCUGACUUUUUCUUGGUGGGUCAGUGAGCAUGAUCCUUUGUCUUUAGAUUAUGUCCCACUGCUCCAGACACUGAGCAUCACUCAUAUGGCUCGUUUACGGCAUAAGGUGCUCAAGUUAAGUGAGUUCCUUGGCAAAGCCACCAUAAGCCACCUGAAUUUGAACUAUCUCUGUGAGAAGAUCUGGGUUAGACCAGAAGAACCAAAUCAAUUGUGGCAGGUGUUCCACAAAUUAAGGCAUGUGACUUUGACCCACAUUUCUGAGGAAUGCGAUCUGACUUGGACAUUGUUCAUUCUCCAAGGUGCACCGUCCCUUCAGGGGCUAUGCAUCAAGGUGUGGGAUCAUCGAUGUGAAAUGAUAGUGGAUGGGGAGCAGAGGAGGCAGUAUGGGUUCAGCGAGGACAAGAAGGAUGCGCACGUAUUAUGGAGAGCACCUGCAUCUGAUUUCAAGCACCACAAUUUGUCUGUGCUCAUGGUCUUUGGGUUUUAGUGGGAGGCAAAGAUUGUGAAUUGCGUCGAAAGUGUCAUGAAAGCAUCGGUCGCCCUGGAGGACAUAUACUUGUAUGAGAAGCCUGUGUGCGAGUACUGUAAGCAGACGGCAUGGAAGCGCAUAUUUCUGCGGAGAAACAGUCAGCCGGCCACGCCUGCGAACAUAUUGGACAUUGGAAUCAGCUUGCGUGUAAGGGUUCAUUUGCCGGGUUUGCAUUACUUUGGCUGA